GAAAUGCGAUAAGUAAUGUGAAUUGCGGAAUUCAGUGAAUCAUCGAAUCUUUGAACGCACAUUGCGCCCGCCAGUAUUCUGGCGGGCAUGCCUGUUCGAGCGUCAUUUCAACCAUCAAGCCCCGGGCUUGUGUUGGGGACCUGCGGCUGCCGCAGGCCCUGAAAACCAGUGGCGGGCUCGCUGUCACACCGAGCGUAGUAGAUUCUCAUCUCGCUCAGGGCGUGCUGCGGGUUCCGGCCGUAAAACAGCCUUAUUUUACCCAAGGUUGACCUCGGAUCAGGUAGGAAGACCCGCUGAACUUAAGC
rnacentral:misc_RNA from 1 species